UCAUCAAGAAACAUGACAUAUUUUUGGCAUUUUUGGCAAUAUUAAUCAUGACAUGUAAGGUAAAAAUAAAUUAAAUGGCAUAAAAAAAAUAAAAAGAAAAUUUAAACAAGGCAGGGAGGGAUAAACAGCAACAUAGGGGGGUGCUGAUAGUAGAUCUGGGCUUAAGCCCAAGAUCCAAAAGAAAAAAGGCAAAAAAAAAAGAAGUAAAAAUGGUGGAAAAACCACCUGGGGGAUUCGAACCCACCCCCUUAAUCAACCCCUAGAAUACGAAAAUAAGCACGGAAAGUUCAAAAGCCUCACCCAAACGCAGAUCGGAGGCAGUUUUCAAAGUCUUUCUUUUCUUCUUCUCUUUCGCUCUAAACUCCUUCUCUUUCUUUCUAUCCUCUGUUGUUUUUUUGUUUUUUUUUCUCUUUGGUUUCGAUGGUUGAAAAAUUGUUGGUGGUGGGUUUUGAUGGUUGUUGUUCUUUUUAGAACGGUUGAAGAGGAAAAAAAAGGUUUGUUUUGCUGUUGUGUUUGAGGUUGUGGCUGUGGCUUCUGUGUUAAUGAAAAGAAUUAGGGUUUUGUUGCUUGUUUUUGUUUUGCAGGUUGCGGCUGUCUUCCCCUCUUUUUUUUCUCCCUGAUUUCGUUUGGUUUCUGUUAUUUUAUACCCAAAUGUCUAGGGUUUGUGUUGAUGGAAAAGGGAGGGUUUGACCUCAACUUUCCAAUGCUAAGAGCAUCAGUUUCAAAUGGGAAAAAAAAGACAGUACUCUGAGUUUGCUGUUCAGUUGUUAUGCAGGGGUUGUUUUAACGUGUUCCUCUUGUCACUGUGGUGUUGCAGAAUUUUGGAAAAAAAGAAAGAAGGGAAGGGAAAGAUCCUUUCUGGGUUGGAGAAUUUGCGUCUGACCUUUGCUGUUCUUGGACAAUUUGAUUUUUUUGAUUUUUUUAAUAAAAAAGAUAAAUAAAAUAAAAUGAAUAAAAAAAAGCAAAGAAAAACGUAAAGAAAGAAAAAGAAAGAGAAAGGGU
rnacentral:lncRNA from 1 species